rnacentral:rRNA from 1 species
GUGGGGAAUAUUGCACAAUGGGGGAAACCCUGAUGCAGCAACGCCGCGUGAGUGAUGACGGUCUUCGGAUUGUAAAACUCUGUCUUUGGGGACGAUAAUGACGGUACCCAAGGAGGAAGCCACGGCUAACUACGUGCCAGCAGCCGCGGUAAUACGGAGGUGGCAAGCGUUGUCCGGAUUUACUGGUCGUAAAGGGAGCGUAGGCGGAUUUUUAAGUGGGAUGUGAAAUACUCGGGCUCAACUUGGGUGCUGCAUUUCAACCUGGAAGUCUAGAGUGCAGGAGAGGAGAGUGGAAUUCCUAGUGUAGCGGUGAAAUGCGUAGAGAUUAGGAAGAACACCAGUGGCGAAGGCGACUCUCUGGACUGUAACUGACGCUGAGGCUCGAAAGCGUGGGGAGCAAACAGGAUUAGAAACCCUUGUAGUCC